UCAAUUAAAAAAAAAAAAAAAAAUCUGUCAAAGUGACAUUCUAUUUUGUAUCCCUUCUGGGUGGUUUUUAAAAUGAAGAGGCCAGGCGUGGUGGCUCCGGCCUGUAAUCCCAGCACUUUGGGAAGUUGAGGGAGGAGGCUUGCUGGAGGACAGGUGUUCCAGGCUGCAGUGAGCUAUGAUCUUGUCACUGCACUCUUGUGUGGGUGACAGAAUAAGACCCUGUGUCUUAAAGAAAAAAACAUAAAAAUGAAGACAGGCCCAAACAGGACUGCCAGAACGAGGUAUAUUAUCAAUCUGCCUUUUGAGCAGUGUCCCUGUGGCAAUAUUUAGAUUUACUCAUUUAGAGAUAACAUCAAAAAAUCUGGCUGGGUGCCAUGGCUCAUGUCUGUAAUACCAAAGUCAUGUUCAGGAGUUUGACACAGUGUGGCAACAUGCAAAACCCCAUCUCAACAAAAAAAUACAAAAAUUAACUAGGCAUGGUGGCACAUGCCUGUAGUCCCAGCUACUCAGGAGGCUCAGGUGGGAGGAUCGAUUGAGCCCAGGAGUUAAGGCUUCAGUGAAUCAUGAUGGUGCUACUGUACUCUCGUAACGCAGUGAGACUCUGUCU